AGUGAACGCUGGCGGUAGGCCUAACACAUGCAAGUCGAACGGCAGCACAGUAAGAGCUUGCUCUUACGGGUGGCGAGUGGCGGACGGGUGAGGAAUACAUCGGAAUCUACUUUUUCGUGGGGGAUAACGUAGGGAAACUUACGCUAAUACCGCAUACUACCUACGGGUGAAAGCAGGGGAUCUUCGGACCUUGCGCGAUUGAAUGAGCCGAUGUCGGAUUAGCUAGUUGGCGGGGUAAAGGCCCACCAAGGCGACGAUCCGUAGCUGGUCUGAGAGGAUGAUCAGCCACACUGGAACUGAGACACGGUCCAGACUCCUACGGGAGGCAGCAGUGGGGAAUAUUGGACAAUGGGCGAAAGCCUGAUCCAGCCAUACCGCGUGGGUGAAGAAGGCCUUCGGGUUGUAAAGCCCUUUUGUUGGGAAAGAAAAGCAGCAGGUUAAUACCCCGCUGUUCUGACGGUACCCAAAGAAUAAGCACCGGCUAACUUCGUG
rnacentral:rRNA from 1 species